rnacentral:rRNA from 1 species
GACGAACGCUGGCGGCGUGCUUAACACAUGCAAGUCGAACAGAAAGGCCCUGCUUUUGUGGGGUGCUUGAGUGGCGAACGGGUGAGUAACACGUGAGUAACCUGCCCUUGACUUUGGGAUAACUUCAGGAAACUGGGGCUAAUACCGGAUAGGAGCUCCUGCUGCAUGGUGGGGGUUGGAAAAUUUCGGCGGUUGGGGAUGGACUCGCGGCUUAUCAGCUUGUUGGUGGGGUAGUGGCGUACCAAGGCUUUGACGGGUAGCCGGCCUGAGAGGGUGACCGGCCACAUUGGGACUGAGAUACGGCCCAGACUCCUACGGGAGGCAGCAGUGGGGAAUAUUGCACAAUGGGCGGAAGCCUGAUGCAGCAACGCCGCGUGCGGGAUGACGGCCUUCGGGUUGUAAACCGCUUUCGCCUGUGACGAAGCGUGAGUGACGGUAAUGGGUAAAGAAGCACCGGCUAACUACGUG